AGAACAUUAUCCGACUUCGAUAAAUGAAACAAAUUUCGAUUUAGUAAUUUUUCUCGCCCGUAUUUAGAUGAGUUCAUUAUUGCGCGAGUUAUUUCAUAGAUUAUUAGUCGAAGAAAUCGCGGCAUAAAUUUUCUGCAUCCGUUGCUUUUGUGGUUUGCCAACAGGAAAUUUUAAAUUCCAAUGACAUCACUAUAGUACUUAAUUGAGCCAAGAUUAGUAGAGAAUAGGAAUUAGUUUGCUAACUUCGCAAAUUUCCGUGCUUGUCGACCGGGAAGAACACGAAUUAUGAUUGCAGAAAACAUCCAUUACCGAAUGUCGGCAUCACCUGAAUGCUCUCCUCAAAGAACAUUUGCAUGUAAAGUGCAAAUAGAUCGUAAUGUUACGUGGAAACUUGGCAGAAUUCUUCGAAACUAUCAUUUAGGACAAUUCAUAAACAUGUUUGUCCUGGUUAGUAGGAACCACGUCCUCAUAAAUCGAAUUUUUCCGAUAGAAAGAUUGUCUCGAUUUUUUUAACAGUAAAAUCUCUUUAACUGUAUUUUUAAAGUAUCUGUCAUCAUUGGUAAGUGCUAAAAAAAACG
rnacentral:lncRNA from 1 species